rnacentral:rRNA from 1 species
UCCUACGGGAGGCAGCAGUGGGGAAUAUUGGACAAUGGGGGCAACCCUGAUCCAGCCAUGCCGCGUGUGUGAAGAAGGCCCUCGGGUUGUAAAGCACUUUCAGCGAGGAAGAACGCCUAGCGGUUAAUACCCGCUAGGAAAGACAUCACUCGCAGAAGAAGCACCGGCUAACUCCGUGCCAGCAGCCGCGGUAAUACGGAGGGUGCAAGCGUUAAUCGGAAUUACUGGGCGUAAAGCGCGCGUAGGUGGCUUGAUAAGCCGGUUGUGAAAGCCCCGGGCUCAACCUGGGAACGGCAUCCGGAACUGUCAGGCUAGAGUGCAGGAGAGGAAGGUAGAAUUCCCGGUGUAGCGGUGAAAUGCGUAGAGAUCGGGAGGAAUACCAGUGGCGAAGGCGGCCUUCUGGACUGACACUGACACUGAGGUGCGAAAGCGUGGGUAGCAAACAGGAUUAGAUACCCUGGUAGUCCACGCCGUAAACGAUGUCGACCAGCCGUUGGGUGCCUAGCGCACUUUGUGGCGAAGUUAACGCGAUAAGUCGACCGCCUGGGGAGUACGGCCGCAAGGUUAAAACUCAAAUGAAUUGACGG